UUGACCUCAAAUCAGGUAGGACUACCCGCUGAACUUAAGCAUAUCAAUAAGCGGAGGAAAAGAAACUAACAAGGAUUCCCUUAGUAACUGCGAGUGAAGAGGGAAAAGCUCAAUUUAAAAUCUGGCAGUGUUUCACUGUCCGAGUUGUAACCUAGAGAGUGUAACCUGCGC
rnacentral:rRNA from 1 species